rnacentral:rRNA from 1 species
GAUGAACGCUGGCGGUAUGCUUUACACAUGCAAGUCAUACGGAAUUUAACUUCGGUUAUAUUCAGUGGCGGACGGGUGAGUAACACGUGAGAAUUCGCCUUUAGGAGGAGGAUAACAGGGGGAAACACCUGCUAAAACUCCAUAUGCCUUUGGGUCAAACAGAGAAAUCUGCCUAAAGAGAAGCUCGCGGCUGAUUGGCUAGUUGGUGGGGUAAAGGCCUACCAAGGCGACGAUCAGUAGCUGGUCUGAGAGGACGACCAGCCACACUGGAACUGGGACACGGGCCAGAAGCCUACGGGAGGCAGCAGAUAGAAAUUUUCGGCAAUGGGCGAAAGCCUGACAGAGCAAUACCGCGUGAGGGAAAAAGGCUUACUGAGUUGUAAACCUCUGUUACCUAAGGAGGAAGAUCUGACGUUACUUAGGAGACGAAGCAGCGGCUAACUCCGUGCCAGCAGCCGCCGUAA